UACAGAGGGCCCAAGCGUUGUUCGGAUUCACUGGGCGUAAAGGGUGCGUAGGCGGUCGGGUAAGUCUGGCGUGAAAUCUCCAAGCCUAACUUGGAAACUGCGUUGGAUACUAUCCGGCUCGAGGAAUGGAGGGGAGACUGGAAUACUUGGUGUAGCAGUGAAAUGCGUAGAUAUCAAGUGGAACACCAGUGGCGAAGGCGAGUCUCUGGACAUUUCCUGACGUUGAGGCACGAAAGCCAGGGGAGCAAACGGG
rnacentral:rRNA from 1 species